UUUUCUGAGAAUUUGAUCUUGGUUCAGAUUGAAUGCUGGCAGCGUGGAUGAGGCAUGCAAGUCGAACGAAGCUAGAGGGUAACCUUUAGUUUAGUGGCGAAAGGGUUAGUAAUACAUGAAUAACUUACCCUUUACCUGGGGAUAACGACUGGAAACAGGCGCUAAUACCGAAUGAGGUACCGAUAAAGAGUUAUUGGCUAUCAAAGUGGGGGACCUUGUAAAGAGGCCUUGCGGUAAAGGAUAGGUUCAUGUGAUAUCAGCUAGUUGGUGUGGUAAAGGCGCACCAAGGCUAAGACGUCUAGGCGGAUUGAGAGAUUGACCGCCAACAUUGGGACUGAGACACUGCCCAAACUCCUACGGGAGGCUGCAGUCGAGAAUCUUUCGCAAUGGGCGAAAGCCUGACGAAGCGACGCUGCGUGAGUGAUGAAGGCUUUCGGGUUGUAAAACUCUUUCGCGCAAGAGCAAAGUGGUUUAGUGAAUAACUAAGUCAUAUGAGAGUACUGCGUAAAGAAGCACCGGCUAACUCCGUGCCAGCAGCUGCGGUAAUACGGAGGGUGCAAGCAUUAAUCGGAAUUAUUGGGCGUAAAGGGCGCGUAGGCGGGAUUAAAAGUCAGAUGUGAAAUUCCGAAGCUCAACUUUGGAGCCGCAUUUGAAACUGCAAUUCUUGAGGGAUGGCGGAGGAAACGGAAUUCCACGUGUAGCGGUGAAAUGCGUAGAUAUGUGGAAGAACACCUGUGGCGAAAGCGGUUUUCUAGCUUUUACCUGACGCUGAGGCGCGAGAGCAAGGGGAGCAAACAGGAUUAGAUACCCUGGUAGUCCUUGCCGUAAACGAUGUAUACUUGAUGUAGUUAGGCUCAACCCUGGCUGUGUCGUAGCUAACGCGAUAAGUAUACCGCCUGAGGAGUACGCUCGCAAGGGUGAAACUCAAAAGAAUUGACGGGGGCCCGCACAAGCAGUGGAGCAUGUGGUUUAAUUCGAUGCAACGCGAAGAACCUUACCCAGGCUCGAAAUGCAAAGGACAGCAUCAGAGAUGAUGUGUUCCGAAAGGAUCUUUGUAUAGGUGCUGCAUGGCUGUCGUCAGCUCGUGCCGUGAGGUGUUGGGUUAAGUCCCGCAACGAGCGCAACCCUUAUCAUUAGUUGCCAACACGUGAAGGUGGGGACUCUAAUGAGACUGCCUAGGUUAACUAGGAGGAAGGUGAGGAUGACGUCAAGUCCGCAUGGCCUUUAUGUCUGGGGCUACACACGUGCUACAAUGGUCGGUACAGAAGGCAGCAAGACCGUAAGGUGGAGCAAAUCCUAUAAAACCGAUCUCAGUUCGGAUUGUAGUCUGCAACUCGGCUACAUGAAGUUGGAAUUGCUAGUAAUGACGUGUCAGCAACAACGUCGUGAAUACGUUCCCGGGCCUUGUACACACCGCCCGUCACAUCAUGGGAGUUGGUUUUACCCGAAGUCGCUGACUUAACCGCAAGGGAAGAGGCGCCUAAGGUAAGGCUGAUGACUGGGAUGAAGUCGUAACAAGGUAGCCCUACCGGAAGGUGGGGCUGGAUCACCUCCUUU
rnacentral:rRNA from 1 species